rnacentral:rRNA from 1 species
GAUGAACGCUAGCGGCAGGCUUAACACAUGCAAGUCGUGGGGCAGCGCGAGGUAGCAAUACUUUGGCGGCGACCGGCAAACGGGUGCGGAACACGUACGCAACCUUCCUCAAAGCGGGGGAUAGCCCCUCGAAAGAGAGAUUAAUACCCCAUAGUAUCGUCAGAUGGCAUCUGAAGACGAUUAAAGCUCCGGCACUUUGAGAUGGGCGUGCGGCUGAUUAGGUAGUUGGUAGGGUAACGGCCUACCAAGCCGACGAUCAGUAGCUGAUGUGAGAGCAUGACCAGCCACACGGGCACGGGGACCCGGGCCCGACUCCCACGGGAGGCAGCAGUGAGGGAUAUUGGUCAAUGGAGGCAACUCUGAACCUGCCAUGCCGCGUGAAGGAUGAAGGUCCUCUGGAUUGUAAACUUCUUUUAUAGAAGAAGGAACCCCAUUUUUCUAAGUGGGUUGACGGUACUCUAUGAAUAAGCGCCGGCUAACUCCGUGCCAGCCGCCGCAGUAACAC